ACGAGUUUGAUCAUGGCUCAGAUUGAACGCUGGCGGCAGGCCUAAUACAUGCAAGUCAAGGGGAUAGCAAUAUCACCGGCGGACGGGUGCGUAACGCGUACACAACGUGCCCAAGGGCGGAGGAAAGCGGCGGGAAACUGCCGGUAAUACUCCAUGGUGUUGUUGAGUGGCAUCACUUAACAACUAAAGUACAAGCGCCCUUGGAUCGGUGUGCGUUCGAUUAGCUAGUUGGCGGGGUAACGGCCCACCAAGGCUUCGAUCGAUAGGGGGUGUGAGAGCAUGACCCCCCCACACGGGUACUGAGACACGGACCCGACUCCUACGGGAGGCAGCAGUAAGGAAUAUUGGACAAUGGGCGGAAGCCUGAUCCAGCCAUGCCGCGUGAAGGACGAAGGCGCUCAGCGUUGUAAACUUCUUUUGGAUGGGAACAAUAACUCCGACUUGUCGGAACUUGAGGGUACCAUCAGAAUAAGCACCGGCUAACUCCGUG
rnacentral:rRNA from 1 species